rnacentral:rRNA from 1 species
GACAGAGGUGCCAAGCGUUAGGCGGAAUCACUGGGCUUAAAGCGUGUGUAGGCGGGCGGGCAAGUACCUUGUGAAAUCCCACGGCUCAACCGUGGAACGGCUGGGUAUACUGCCUGUCUUGAGCCAGCUAGGGGCGACCGGAACAGACGGUGGAGCGGUGAAAUGCGUAGAUAUCGUCUGGAACGCCAAAGGUGAAAACAGGUCGCUGGGGCUGAGCUGACGCUGAGACACGAAAGCCAGGGGAGCGAACGGGAUUAGAUACCCCGGUAGUCCUGGCCCUAAACGAUGUCGACUAGAUCGCAGGACCUCUGACGGUUUUGCGGUCGCAGCAAAAGUGCUAAGUCGACCGCCUGGGAAGUACGGUCGCAAGGCUAAA